CUAAGAUAUUGAACCAGCAGGGCGUUGUCACUCAUCCCAUUCAUUUUGCCCUAAGAAUGUAAUUGUUGAACAAAAUUCCCAAUGAGACAUCAGGCCUUUCAGUGAUAAAUGUCAACUCUCAAAUAUUAAAAGAUACCAGAGCACUUCACAGAAUCAACAGAAGAGCUGAAUAACCAAGCUUCAAGAAAGCAGGAAAUAAGCCUGCUUUGAGAACUUCAGAUAUGAACUCUUGAACUAUAAAAAGUCAUGGAGUCUCAGCCCUUUAAAUCUACCACUUAAUGAUGGUUGGUCCAUUCUCUUACAGUCUCUGCACAUGGCCGACAGUCUGGUUUUGUCACCAAGAGGAAAAGAGGAGGUUUCUGUUCCCGACCUCCAGUUAGAAAAAUGCUGGGAAGUGACUCUGGCACACCUUAAGUUAUACAACAAUCCCUUGAUCAAACUGCUGAAGCUAGGAGGUAUCAGGUACAUGCUUCCUGACCAGUUGUGAGGAUCAUGUAGGCAAAGCCACACAUGAUGAACCUCCCUUUCUAAUUAUAGGCCUAGAAGAGUAGAGGGGCAGUUCUGUAGCAGAUGAGUGCUGGGCAUACAAAAUAAACAUCCCCACAUACACUUAAGAAUUAGUUAGCUGGGAAAACAUGCUAAAACUAAAUAGUG